rnacentral:tRNA from 1 species
CAAAAUAUAGCUUAACCAAAGCACUUCGCUUACACCGAACUAAUAUCUGUUCAAACCAGAUUAUUUUGAGCC